CAUUUGCGUUAGGGAUAGCAGUGGAAAUCCUUUAAAGAGAUUGCGAGCGAAGGCGAGAAAUCACCUUUAAAGAUUGAAGCGAAUAGCCCGCCGCGAU
rnacentral:sRNA from 1 species